rnacentral:lncRNA from 1 species
UCAGCAGAAAAGCAAUUGAAGAAUCCAUUAAGGAAAAUUUUGAAAUGACUGAAGAUAUAAAAGACAAGUCACUUCUUACACUACAUAAAAAAAAAAAAAAAAAGAAAACGCUAAUGAUAUAGUUGCUUCUUCUCAAAAAAGUUAAAAAAAGACAAGUCGCCUCUUACCCUACAUAAAAAAAAACGCCAAUGAUAUAGUUCGAAGCAAAAUAGGUGUAACGUACUACGAAGGUUAUAAAUGUAAAAGCACGGGUGCCAGCAGAACUUUAGUUCACUGCUGACCUUGAUUUAAGCAUAUUGAAACAGUCAAAGAUUCACAUUUUUCAAGCUGAAGAUUGAACAUCACAAAAGAGCUCAAAAUCAGAAGCUCAUGAGUCCCCCCCCCAAAGCCCGCCAGCCAGCCACUCACACACAAGAAAGGAAGCAAAUAUAUUGGUAUAAGGGUUGCUGCCAACAUGAGAAACAAAGAUCAAAAUUAUGCUAAACUUUGUUCACAUACCAACAACAUUGCCCGAUUGUAAAACUAAAGCCGACUUUGAUUUAAGCAUAUAAAGGGAGGCCCAGAUUAUCCUUUUUCAAGCAGAAGAUUGAACAUCAGAAAAGAGCCCAAAAUAAUAAGCUCACUAGUCACCCACCAAAAGUUCACAAGACAGCCACUUACACACACAAGAAAGAAAACAAAUAUAUGGGUACAAAGGCUGUGGCCAACAUGAGAAACAAGGAUCAAAAUUAUGCAAAACUCUAUUCACAUACCAACAACGUUCACCGAAUGUAAAACUAAAGUCAACCAUGAUUCAAGCAUAUAAAAGGAGGCUCAUAUUCACCUUUAUCAAGCAGAAGAUUGAACAUCAAAAAAAGAGCUCAAAAUCAGAAGCUCAAGAGUCACCCACACAAAGCAAACUAAAGCCCACCUUGAUUUAAGCAUAAAAAAGGAGGCUCACAUUCGCUUUUCAAGCAGAAGAUUGAAUAUCACAAAAUAGCUCAAAAUCAGAAGUUCACGAGUCACCCAACCAAAGUAAACUAAAGCCGACCUUGAUUUAAGCAUAAAAAAGAAGGCUCAGGUUUGCCUUUUUCAAGCAAAAGAUUGAACAUCACAAAAGAACUCAAAAUUAGAAGCUCACGAGUCACCCACCCAAAAUUCGCUAGACAGCCAUUCACACACACAAGAAAGAAAGCAGCAGAUAUAUUCAUACGAGGGCAGUUGGCAAAAUGAGAAAAAUGCGAAACUUCGUUCAUAUACCAAAAACAUUUACCCAAUGUAAAACUAAAGCUGACCUUGAUUUAAGCAUAGAAAAGGAGGCUCAGAUUCGCAUAUUUCAAGCAGAAGAUUGAUUAUCACAAAAGAGGUCAAAAUUAGAAGCUCAUGAGUCACCCAUCCAAAGUUCGCCAGACAGCCACUCAAACACACAAGAAAGAAAGCAGAUAUAUUGGUAUAAGGGCUGAUGCCAACAUGAGAAACAAUCAUCAAAAUUAUGCCAAACUUUGUUCACAUACCAAAAACGUUCACCGAAUGUAAAACUAAAGUCGAUCUUGAUUUAAGCAUAUAAAAUGAGGCUUACAUUCGCCUUUUCAAGCAGAAGAUUGAACAUUACAAAAGAGCUAAAAAUCAGAAGCUCAAGAGUCACCCACCCAAAGUUCGCAGACACAAGAAAGAAAGCAUAUAUAUUGGUAUAAGGGCUGUUGCCAACAUGAGAAACAGGGACCGAAAUUAUGCAAAACUUUAUUCACAUACCAACAACGUUCACCGAAUGUAAAACUAAAGCCGACCUUGAUUUAAGCCUAUAAAAUGAGGCUUAGAUUCGCCUUUUUCAAGCAGAAGAUUGAACAUCACAAAAGAGCUCCAAAUCAAAAGCUUGUGAGUAACCCAUCAGAAGCUCACGAGUCAACCACCAAAAGGUUGCAAGACAGCCAUUCACAAACAAGAAAAAAAACUGAUAUAUUGGUACAAGGGCUGUGGCCAACAUGAGAAACAAGGAUCAAAAUCACGCAAAACUUUAUUCACAUACCAACAACGUUCAUUAGAAGUAAAACCAAAGCCGACCUUGAUUUAAGUAUACAAAACGGGCUCCAAUUCGCAUUUUUCGAGCAGAAGAUUGAACAUCACAAAAGAGCUCAAAACCAUAAGCUCACGAGUAAACCACCCAUAGUACGCAAAUCAGCCAUUCACACACACAAGAAAGAAAGCAAAAGAUUGAACAUCACAAAAGAGCUCAAAAUCAGAAGCUCAUGAGUAACCCACCCAAAGUACGCAAGUCACACACAAGAAAGAAAGCAGAUGCAUCGGUAUAAUGGCUGUGGCCAACAUGAGAAACAAGGAUCAAAAUUAUGCCCAACUUUACUGUCAUACCAACAACAUUAACCGAAUGUAAAACUAAGGCUGACCAUGAUUUAAACAUAUUAAAAGAGGCUCAGAUUCGCCAUGUUCAAGCAGAAGAUUGAACAUAACAAAAGAGCUCAAAAUCAGAAGCUCACAACUCACCCAACCAAAGUUCACCAGAGCUAACCUUGAUUUUAGCAUAUUGAAAGAGUCAAAGAUUCACAUUUUUCAAGCAGAAGAAUGAAAUCACAAAAGAGCUCAAAAUUAGAAGCUCACAAGUCACCCAUCCAAAGUUCGCCAGACAGCCACUCAAACACACAAGAAAGAAAGCAAAUAUAUUGGUAUAAGGGUUGUUGCCAACAUGAGAAACGAGGAUCCAUAUUAUGCCAAAUUUUGUUCACGUACCAACAACAUUCACUGAAUGUAAACCUAAAGCCGACAUUGAUUUAAGCAUACCAAAGGAGGCUCACAUUUGCAUUUUCAAGCAGAAGAAUGAACAUUGCAAAAGAGCUCAAAUCAGAAGCUCACGAGUCACCCACCCAAAUUUUGCCAGACAGCCACUCACACACAAGAAAAAAAGGCAGAUAUAUUGGUGUAAGGGCUGUUGCCAACAUGAAAAACAAGGAUCAAAAUUAUGCCAAACUUUGUUCACAUACCAACAAUAUUCAUCGAAUGUAAAACUAAAGCCUAACUUGAUUUAAGCAUAUAAAAGGAGACUCAGAUUCGCAUUUUUCAAGCAGAAGAUUAAACAUCACAAAAAAACUCAAAAUCAGAAGCUCACGAGUCUCCCAACCAAAGUAAACUAAAGUCGACCUUAAUUUAAGCAUAAAAAAGAAGCCUCAGAUUCGCCUUUUCAAGUAGAAGAUUGAACAACACAAAACAGCUCAAAAUUAGAAGCUCACGAGUCACCCACCCAAAGUUCGCUAGACAGCCACUCACACACACAAGAAAGAAAGCAGCAGAUAUAUUCGUCUGAGGGCGGUUGGCAAAAUGAGAAACAAGAACAAAAAAAAUCCCAAGCUUUGUUCGCAAAAAAAAAAUACCAAAAACAUUUAACAAAUGUAAAAACAAAAACCGACCUUGAUUUAAGCAUAACUCACACACACAAGAAAGAAAGCAGCAGAUAUAUUCGUAUGAGGGCGGUUGGCAAAAUGAGAAACAAGAACAAAAAAAAUCCCAAACUUUGUUCGCAAAAAAAAAAUACCAAAAACAUUUAACAAAUGUAAAAACUAAAACCGACCUUGAUUUAAGCAUAUAAAAGGAGGCUCAGAUUCGCAUAUUCCAAGCAGAAGAUUGAUUAUCACAAAAAAGCUCAAAAUUGGAAGCUCACGAGUCACCCAUCCAAAGUUCACCAAACAGUCACUCAAACACACAAGAAAGAAAGCAUAUAUAUUGGUAUAAGGGUUGUUGCCAACAUGAGAAACAAUAAUCAAAUUAUGCCAAACUUUGUUCCCAUACCAACAACAUUCACCGAAUGUAAAACUAAAGCCAACCUUCAUUUAGGCAUAUAAAUGGAGGCUCAGAUUCGACUUUUUCAAGCAGAAGAUUCAACAUCACAAAAAAGAUCAAAGUCAGAAGCUCAUGAGACACCCACCCAAAGUUCGCUAGACAGCCGCUCACAAACACACGAAAGAAAGCAGAUAUAUUGGUAUAAGGGCUUUUGCCAACACGAGAAACAAGGAUCAAAAUUAUGCCAAACUUUGCUCCCAUACCAACAACAUUGCCCGAGUGUAAAAAAAAAAAAAAAAGCCGACCUUGAUUUAAACAUAUAAACGGAGGCUCAGAUUCAUCUUUUUCAAGUAAAAGAUCGACCAUCACAAAAAAAGAACAAAAUCAGAAACUCACGAGUCACCCACCAAAAGUUCACCAAACGGCCACUCACACACACAAGAAAGAAAUCAGAUAUAUUGGUAAAAGGGUUGUAGUCAAUAUGAGAAAGAAGGAUCAAAAUUACGCAAAAUUUUGUUCACAUACGAACAAGAUUCAACGCAUGUAAAACUAAAGCUCACGAGUUCAAAGGAGCUCAAAAUCAAAAACUCAAAAGUCACCCACCCAAUGCACACACAAAAAAGAAAGCAGAUAUAUGGGUAUAAGAGAUGUUGCCAACAUGAGAAACAAGGAUCAAAAUUGUGCCCAACUUUGCUCUCAUACCACAACAUUCACCGAAUGUAAAAGUAAAGCCGACCAAGAUUUAAGCAUAUAAAAGGAGGCUCAGAUUCGCCUUUAUCAAGCAGAAAAUUGAACAUCACAAAAGAACUCAAAAUUAGAAGCUCACAAGUCACCCAACCAAAGUUCACCAUAGCUGACCUUGAUUUAAGCAUAUUGAAACAAUCACAGAUUCACAUUUUUCAAGCAGAAGAUUGAACAUCACAAAAGAGCUCAAAAUCAGAAGCUCACAAGUCACCCACCCAAAGUUCUCCAGAUAGCCACUCACACACACAAGAAAGAAAGCAGGCAUAUUGGUAUAAGGGUUGUCGCCAACAUGAGAAACAAGAAUCAAAAUUACGCCAAACUUUGUUCAAAUACCAACAACAUUCACAGAAUGUAAAACUAAAGUCGACCUUGAUUUAAGAGUAUAAAAGGCUGCCCAGAUUCGCCUUUUUCAAGCAAAAUAUUCAACAUCACAAAAGAGCUCAAAAACAGAAGCCCACAAGCCACCCACCUAGAGUUCAGCAGAUGAACACUCACACACAUAAGAGAGACAUCAGAUAUAUUUGUGUAACGGUUGUUGCCAACAUGAGAACCAAGGAUCAAAAUUAUGCAAAACUUUAUUCACAUACCUACAACGUUGACUGAAUGUAGAACUAAACCCGACCUUGAUAAAGCACAUAAAAUGAGGCUUAGAUUUGCCUAUUUCAAGCAGAAGAUUGAACAUCACAAAAGAGCUAAAAAUCAGAAGCUCACGAGUCAUUCACCCAAAGUUCGCCAGACAGCCACUCACACACACACACAAGAAAUAAAGCAGAUAUAUUCGUUUAAGGGCUGCUGCCAACAUGAGAAACAAGGAUCGAAAUUAUGCAAAACUUUAUUCACAUACCAACAACGUUCAGUGAAUGUAAAACUAAAGCCGAGCUUGAUUUAAGCCUAUAAAAUGAGGCUCAGACUCUCCUUUUUCAAGCAGAAGAUUGAACAUCGGAAAAGAAAUCAAAAUAAGAAGCUCACGAGUCGCCCACCAAAAGUUUGCAAGACAGCCACUCACACACACAAGAAAGAAAGCAUAUAUAUUAGUAUAAGGGCUGUUGCCAACAUGAGAAACAAGGAUCGAAAUUGCGCAAAACCUUAUUCCAAUACCAACAACGUUCAUUGAAUGCAAAACUAAAGCCGACAACAGAUAUAUGGCUACAAGGGUUGUGCCCAAGAUGAGAAACAAUGAUCAAAAUUAUGCAAAGCUUUAUUCACAUACCAACGAUGUUCACCGAAUGUAAAACUAAAGUCGACCAUGAUUCAAGCAUAUAGCAGGAGGCUCUGAUUCGCCUUUAUCAAGCAGAAGAUUGAACAUCAAAAAGAGCUCAAAAUCAGAAGCUUAAGAGUCACCCACACAAAGCAAACUAAAGCCCACCUUGAUUUAAGCAUAUAAAAGCAGGCUCAAAUUCGCUUUUCAAGCAGAAGAUUGAAUAUCACAAAAUAGCUCAAAAUCAAAAGCUCAUGACUUACCCCCCAAAGCAUUCUAAAGUCGACUCGACUUAAGCACAUAAAAGGAAGCUAAGAUUUGCCUUUUCAAACCAGAAGAUUGAAAGUCACAAAAAAGCACAAAAUCAGAAGCUGAAAAAUCACCCACACAAAGCAAAAUAAAGCCCACCUUGAUUUAAGCAUAUAAAAGGAGGCUCAAAUUCGCUUUUCAAGAAGAAGAUUGAAUAUUACAAAAUAGCCCAAAAUCAAAAGCUCACGACUCACCCUCCCAAACCAAUCUAAACCCAACCUAGACUUAAGCACAUAAAAGGAGGUUCAAAUGCCCCUUUUUAAAGCAGAAGAUUGAACAUCACAAAAAAGCUCAGAAUCAGAAGCUCACAGGUCACCCACCCAAAGCAAUCUAAAGUCCACUUAGACUUAAGCACAUAAAAAGAGGCUCAGAUUUGCCUUUUUUAAGCAGAAGAUUGAAAAUCACAAAAAAGCUCAAAAUCAGAAGCUCACAGUUCACCCACCCAAAGCAAUCUAAAGAAGAACCUGAUUGAAGAGUAUAAAAGGAGGCUCAGAUUCGUCUUUUUCAAGCAGAAGAUUGAACAUCAAAAAAGAGCUCAAAAUUAGAAGCCCAAGGGUAACCCACACAAAGCAAACUAAAGCCCACCUUGAUUUAAGCAUAUAAAAGGAGGCCCAAAUUCGUUUUUCAAGCAGAAGAUUGAAUAUCACAAAAUAGCUCAAAAUCAAAAGCUCACGACUCACCCCCCAAAGUAAUUUAAAGCCGACAUAGACUUAAACACAUAAAAGGAGGCUCAGGUUCGCCUUUUUAAAGCAGUAGAUUGAACAUCACAAAAACGCUCAAAAUCAGAAGCUCAAGAGUCACACACACACAAAGCAAACUAAAGCGCACCUUGAUUUAAACAUAUGAAAGGAUGCUCAAAUUUGCUUUUCAAGCAGAAGAUUGAAUAUCACAAAAUAGCUCAAAAUCAGAAGCUCACUACUCACCCCCCAAAGCAAUCUAAAGUCGACUUAGACUUAAGCACAUAAGAGGCUCAGAUUUGACUUUUUAAAGCAGAAGAUUGAACAACACAAAAAAAGCUCAAAAUCAGAAGCUCACAGGUCACCCACUUAAAGCAAUCUAAAGCCGACCCUGAUUUAAGCGUAUAAAAGCAGACUCAGAUUCGCCCUUUUCAUGCAGAAGAUUGAAUAUCACAAAAGAGCUCAAAAUCAGAUGCUUACGGGUCACCGAACCAAAGUAAACUAGAGCCGGCCUUGCUUUAAGCGUGUAAAAGGAGUCUCAGAUUCGGCUUUUUCAAGUAGAAGAUUGAACAUCAAAAAAGAGCUCAAAAUUAGAAGCCCAAGGGUCACCCACACAAAGCAAACUAAAGCCCACCUUGAUUUAAGCAUAUAAAAGNNNNNNNNNNNNNNNNNNNNGCAGAAGAUUGAAUAUCACAAAAUAGCUCAAAAUCAGAAGCUCACGACUCACCCCCCAAAGCAAUUUAAAGCCGACAUAGACUUAAACACAUAAAAGGAGGCUCAGGUUCGCCUUUUUAAAGCAGAAAAUAGAUUGAACAUCACAAAAAAGCUCAUAAUCAGAAGCUCAAGAGUCACACACACAAAGCAAACUAAAGCGCACCUUGAUUUAAACAUAUGAAAGGAUGCUCAAAUUCGCUUUUCAAGCAGAAGAUUGAAUAUCACAAAAUAGCUCAAAAUCAGAAGCUCACUACUCACCCCCCAAAGCAAUCUAAAGUCGACUCAGACUUAAGCACAUAAAAGGAGGCUCAGAUUUGACUUUUUAAAGCAGAAGAUUGAACAUCACAAAAAAAGCUCAAAAUCAGA